AAAAAACAUGGUAAUCGUCUUUAUCAGCUGCUUAAUAAGAGGCUAAAGUCAUUUCAAUGACAUUUAUGAGACACUUCUCUCAUAAAGCUUGUUAAAGGUGUCCUAUAGCGGUUUGGUUAUAGCACUUACAGGAUCAUUAUAGAAGUACAACGUUACUUAACAGUGUGUGUGUUCACCAGCUGUACUGUCUGCAGCCAUUUUAAGACCUGGCUGGAGGAUUUCCAUCUCAACUGCUUCAAGUUCAAGAGCUUUUAAUUGUUUAAAUAUUCAUGACNNNNNNNNNNAAAAACCUCCCAAAUUCCUCAUUACUCACGAAACAUCCGCAACACACUUAGCGUGAUUUGCUCCGAGGAUGCAUGAUCAGUUGGAGCGUGGGACGUGCACGCUCGCCCGGUGCACGCCAGGGCACAUUUAACCCACUGUUAUACUAUUAGAGGAGUGACUUGGGUAACUUAGGUUCUCUGUCUGCUCGUAUUAGUGCAGUGUUGCGGAUUGAGAUGAGGUUUGAUUGGUUGGUUGAUGUCUUUUUGAGGUGGUGUCUGUCGUGCGUUCUCAUUGGAAGACAGAUGGUGUGGAAGAAAGAUCUGGCUCAGCUGUACUGUCUGCAGCCAUUUUAAGACCUGGCUGGAGGAUUUCCAUCUCAACUGCUUCAAGUUCAAGAGCUUUUAAUUGUUUAAAUAUUCAUGACCUGGUAAUAUUUAUUUACCAUUUUAUGAGUCUUUUUUUAAAAUUUGAAAUAAAGAUCUUAAAAGGCUUUUGUUACUCGGGUGAUAUAUCUAUCUGACUGAUCUUUACAGUUGUAUUGCUACACUUAGUCAUCAUGGGUGUUGAGGAAAUGUGGGGGUUGAUAUCCUGAUGGCUAUCUGUACUGAUAGGCCUAGGACUCAUGGCUACUGAAAAGAGAAGGGUUCAUCUAUAGGAUUGGCCCAACUUGUUCAUUCCCAUAGCUGGGCUGCACUCGACAAGGCUUUUACUGCCCUUAUGCCCUUACUAGUAGAUGGGUUAGCAGAAACAUGCAACUCUUAGAAUUAAGACUGUUAUUUAAGCAAUAAGGCCCAAGGGGGUGUGGUAUAUGGCCAAUUUACCACGGCUAAGGACUGUUCUUAAGCACGACGCAACGCUGAGUGCCUGGAUACAGACCUUAGCCGUGGUAUAUUGGUCAUGCACCAACAAACCCCCAAGGUGACUUACUGCUAUUAUAAACUGGUCACUAACAUAAUUAGAGCAGUAAAAAUAAAUGUUUUGUCAUACCCGUGAUAUACCGUGGCUGUCAGCCAAUCAGCAUUCGGGGCUCGAACUACCCAGUUUAUAAUAUAGGAUUAGUCAUUGUGGUUUUGUUAAAUUACAUGUUAGAGCAUUAUUU
rnacentral:lncRNA from 13 species